UCAUUGUUGUUAACGUUGUUGAUUUUCCUGAGUUCUUCAUCUUCACCAUCACAAUCAAUUACAACACUUGACCCUUCGGUUUCCAAUUUCAGUGACCUUUUGAUGAUAUAACAACACAAUAUAGAUAACAAUACAAAUAACAAUCAACUAAUUGUAAACAAAAGAAACAGAUCAAUUCAAUUAUGAAAGGGAAAGCAACAUUCACAUUAAAAGUAACUUAUUAAUCAACAGCAGCAAAAGCAGUCAGUUAAUUGUUGGUCUUCAAAGGGAAAACAUUGGCAAUUAGUGAUGAUUAAAAAGUGUCAAUUAUUUGGAAUCACAAUUGUGAUGAUCAAAAGAGAGAGAGAGGGAGAAAUGAAAAUAACCAAUCACAGUGAAUCGAAUAAAAAAGAAAGAGAAAAAAAUUUAUUCUCUUUUCUCUUUUGUUCCAUUUACAUGUUAACCUUUUCCUCGUUAACUUUAAAACGUAAAAAUAGAUUCAUCUUAAUGUAUUAAUCGAUUUAAAUUCUGUUGGCCUUAAUUUAAUUUUCUUUCUCUCUGUUAAUUUUUUUUCUUUAAUCUGUCUCUUGUUUUCCGAAUCAUGGAAACGCAAUUACCUGGAAAACUUAAUUUCCUCUUUGAUUAACUUUUUCUCAUCUUUGGAUAGUCAAAGUGUUGAAGCCUUUUGGUCAUCAGAUUAUAUGUAAUAUGUUUGUUUCCAGUGUUUCUUUUCCCUUGGAAUUUGAUUUGAUUUGAUUGUUUAGGAAAACAUGGAAAGAUUCUGUAACAAUGAUGAUAAUCCGUGUUGGAGCCAUGUAAUAAAUGCGUGAUGGACAAACUAGGUUAGGCCUAACCUUGGGAAGAUUUUAUUUCAAUUAACUAACUUGACGUGUAUACAAUUUGGUUUUCAAUUAAUCAUCUUCUUUUGACUAUUCUUUUUUAUUACUGUUAAUCGUCGUUGUCAUGAUUAUUAUUCACUGAUAAACAUGGAAGACACUGCGACACAGUUAGAGUGAAGAUGCAAAAGUAGCUAUAAAGAUGCUAAACAAAGUUCUCAUCUACAGUUAUGAAGAGGAAAAAAAAGUCUGAAAAUUUAUCAUCCACCUCUGGAUAAAGUCAAUCGUUUACUCUGUUGAUUACUAAAAGAAAAUUUUUCUUAUCUAUAAGCCUUAUCGUACUUGGAACGGUAAAUAUUAUUAAUAAGUUGUAAUCGCAUCGAGCUAAUCAAUCAAUCUGAAAAUCUUUGACGUCUAUGGAUUUGGUAACCAAAUCAAAAUGGUAUUAAUUCAAAAGUGGAAAGGAUGAUUUAACCAUCGGAACAAACAAAAUUUAAAUCAAUCAAUUGACUGUUGUUAAGUUUUUUUUGUAUCUAAUUUGAGAAAAAGCUGAGAUUAGCUUUUUGUCUUUCGAGUAAAAAUUUACUUAUCGAAGCAUCUUAAUAGAUUCUUGUGGCAGCGAUGGAGAAAGCAUAUUAAUUCAACUGAAAAAGCAGCUUGACUUCCCAGUGGAUUUAAUUGUGAUACAUAAUCCAAAUAUAAUAUCAACUGACCUUUGCAUUUUGAAGCCACUGGACAGGAAUUGUAAUCAUACACCAAACAGAUGAGACAAGUGAUUUAAGUCGUAAAAUCAAAACAAACAAUUUUGAUUAAAGUAUCAAGAAUAUAUAUAAUCAAUUAAUUACGUGAUGUGAAGUUUAAUUAAUCCAUGGUUGUAUCAUUCGUUAGUUGGAUCCAUUUGGUUAAUAUAAUCAAAGCACUGGACUGAUGAGACAACGUGAAAUUAAAACUUGGAUUUGCUGAUAUGAUGAUUUAAUCAACCUACUGAUGAAACAAUUAUAAAGUGAAAAGUAAUCAACAGAUUCACUGGUGAUCAUCUGAACAACUUGAAGUGAAAUAUGAUUAAAGCCUUAUGAAACUUGAAGGAGGGAGAAAGUAAAAGAGAGAGGACCUUGAUUGAGAAAUGAUGAGAAUCGAGGAACAAUUAAAAUUGCAACUGAAUAAUAAGAAAAAUAUUCGAAAAAGAGAAGAUGAGAAAACAAAAGGAAAACGAUGAUAAUGAUGAAAAAAAGGAUGAGAACGAUGAGGAAGUGGUUGUUUGUUUAUCGAGAGACUUGAAGUUUUGGCUGAGAUACUUCGAGUUUCUAAUUUAACCGAACAUUAUCUUUCCACCUCCUCUCUCUCCCUCCCUCUCUCUCUUGCUUUCUCUCUUUCUCACUCUCUCACUUUCUCAUCUGAAUCUCUCAUCCAAUCUUCAUCAUCCUCUUUGAAUUUUUCGUCUUAGACAAUUUCUUGGGCUCUUGUCAAACUCUUCCUCUCGGGAUGAAUCUAAUGUAGGCCAAACUUGUUUCUUCGUAUCAUCAUCAUCUUUCAAUUUAUUUCACCUUCUUUUCUUAACAAUUUACUAACACAAUUAGUUAAUUCUGUAAAUGCAGCCGCAUGUAAUUUUCUCAACUUAUAAUUAGUAUCAUUUGUCUCCCCCCAAGUUGCUCACUCAAAAGGUAGCAAAUUCAACGCUUUAAAUUUGAUCAAUCAAAAAUGUUUUAAUUUCCAUUUUCAACAACUCCAAUCUUAUCAAAUUGUAACAAUUGUAAUAUAUUAAUCCUGAAGCUUUUUCUUUUUCUCUCUCCCAAUUUCUUAAUUGUUUGAUAAUAUAAUCAUCAAUCAACAAUAAGAUAAUUCCUCAUCUAGGUAAAUGAAAAGCAAUCGUAACCUUGUUGUGUAACAAUUGUGAUUGUUUCCAAUUUUUGCAGAACGAAAAAAAAUUUACUCUUUUGUUGCAAUUUAAGAAUAAGAUUCAACUCCAAGGACAAUCACAAUCAAAUGACAAUUUAAAGAUGAUUUAUUAUCCGUGAUACAUUUGAUUAUUUUUGUCACGAAUUUAAUAUCAACCAGAUAAUUUCAUCUUCUACCCACACAUUAAUUGUACUUCCUUCCGGAUCAUAAUCUCCAUUGGAAUCAUCAAAGUAAAUGUUUACCAUAAUUUGUAAUAUCCAUCAAAGAGUAAGACUAAUCAUUUAUCGAACCUUAAACGACAAAUGAGUCAAUUUGUAGAGGUCAUUUGGUCAAUCAGUUUAAUUGAUUAAAUGGUAAACAAAUCGGCUUAUGAGAAGAAAAAUUUUUUUUCGAUAAGUUGAAGAUAAAUCAUAUAAUUAUCAACUCGAGCUUUUCUUUUCAUGUCAAAUCAACGCAGUUUUUUUGUUUAUUAAUAUAAAAUAAAAUAUAAAAAAUGAGGGAAACAAUUAUUUUCAUUUCAUAGAAUCAUUUGUUGAUUGAUUUUCUUUUGAUGUUGUUGUUGAUGUUGCUUUCUGUUGAUUAUCGUUUAAAGAAUCGCCACUUGGUGAUGGACAAUAAUCAUCAUUUACAUAUCUAAAUUCAC